rnacentral:lncRNA from 1 species
UUUUUUCCUCCCAGCAUUAUAACUACACCACGGUAACACAGUAUUUUUUAAGCAAAACAUUGCUAGUAUUUGACUAUUAGUAAACAUAACAACUGGAAAAGUGUUUAACAAAUUAAUGGGAUUAUAACACAGGGUGUGAAUGGCUCCUGUACCAGCCAUGGCAUUUCUUAUGUCAAAACCAUGCUUAUGUUAAAAUGGAGGGAUAAGAUUUUUUUUCUUUUUUAAAGUGAGGGUAGUACAGGUUAAGUAUCUCUUAUCCAGAAUUCCAAAAUCCAAAAUACUUCAAAAUGAUUCACACGCACAACAUUAUUUAAACUAUUGUGUUUAAAAUUAUCUUUAGGCUAUAAUUAUUAUGUUUACUUAUUCCCCUCUUUUUCUCAUCACAAGAAGAUUCAAAGUGGUAUAUAUAAAAAUAAAUGAAUUUCGGAUCUAGAUUUGCGUCCCAUCUCUAAGAUUUCUCAUUCUCCAAAUGAAGUAUUCCAAAGUGUUGUCGAAGGCUUUCAUGGCCAGGAUCACAGGGUUGUUGUAUGUCUUUCGGGUUGUGUGGCCAUGUUCCAGAAGUAUAUUCUCCUGACGUUUCGCCCACAUCUAUGGCAGGCAUCCUCAGAGGAUGUAUCUCUCAAGGGACAUAGCAGAUACAGCUUGUGAGGUAUGGAUAAACUAAGUAAGGAAAGGAAAGAAUAUAUAUCUGUGUAGAGUCCAGGGUGUGGCAAAAGUCCUUUGUCACUGGGAAGCCAGCAUUAAUGUUUCAGUUAAUCACCCUAAUUAGCAUUGGAAAGGUUUUUGUCUCUUGCCUGGGGGCAUCCUUUGUUAGUCAUUAGCUGUGCUCUGCCCUCAGAGUGUUGCUUCCCAUCCACUGUUUUGAUUUUAGAGUUUUUUUAAUACUGGUAGUCAGAUUUUGUUCAUUUUCAUGGUUUCUUCCUUUCUGUUGAAGUUGUCCACAUGCUUGUGGAUUUCAAUGGCUUCUCUGUGUAGUCUGACAUGAUAGUUGUUGGAAUGGUCCAGCAUUUCUGUGUUCUCAAAUAAUAUACUGUGUCCAGGCUGGUUCCCUUGAUGUAUGGUAAGAACACCUUUCUUAAUGUAUGGUACACAGCCCGAAAGACAUACAACAACCCUGAAGUAUUCCAAAAUUAGAGAAAAUUAAAAAUGCAAAACACUUUGGUCCCAAGCAUUUCAGAUAAGGGAUAAUCAAUCAGUUUUAUAACACUCAGCAGGGAUGCAGGUAACAGGAGGUAGGUAAUAGCACAGCUAUUGAUUGUGUCUAUCAUGAAAAACAAUGGACCACUCUUGAAGAACUGGCUGUGCCACAACAUUUGAUUGCAUUGAUGCAGAACCUAUACUCAGGAUAAGAGACUACUCUUAGGACAGUAUAUAGAGAAAUAGAAAGGUUUCCGGUUUACAAAAGAUUCAGGCAAGGAUGUAUUUUAUCACCCCCAUCUUUUUGACUUAUAUGAUGAACAUAUAAUAUCUAAACCAGGAUUAGACUUGGAGCAAGGAAGUGUGGAAAUUGGAGGAAGGAGCAUCAACCAUUUAAAAUAUGCAGAUGAUACCAUACUAUUAACAGAAAAUAAAGAUUUGUAAUAAUUACUGAAGAAAGUCAAGGAACAAAGUACAAGCAGGUUUGAAGCUGAACAUUAAAGAACAAAAAUAACAACCACAGAUGAUUUACAUAACUUUAAAGUAAACAAGGAAGUCAUUGAAAUCAUUCAGGAUUUUCCAUAUCUUGGCUCACUCAUUAAUUAGAAUGCAGAAUGCAGUAAGAAAUCAGAAGACUAGCAACUUCUUCACAGAUGGCUAAAAUUGACGGCAUGCGUCGGUUUAGCCCAGGUCACCCACGG